GGGGAGUGGUGGGGACGACUGUUGGGACCGCCGUCUGCUAAAGAGGAGGAAGGAAUGGGCAACGGUAGGUCAGCAUGCCCCGAAUUAUCUGGGCGUACACGCGGGCUACAAUGGGUGGGACGAAUGGGUAUCGACACCGAAAGGUGAAGGCAAUCUCCUAAACCCAUCCGUAGUUCGGAUUGUGGGCUGCAACUCGCCCACAUGAAGCUGGAAUCUGUAGUAAUCGUGUCUCAAAAUGGCACGGUGAAUAUGUCCCUGCUCCUU
rnacentral:rRNA from 1 species